rnacentral:rRNA from 1 species
CAGCCGCCGCGGUAAUACCGAGGGUGCAAGCGUUAAUCGGAAUUACUGGGCGUAAAGCGCGCGUAUGUGGUUUGUUAAGUUGGAUGUGAAAGCCCCGGGCUCAACCUGGGAACUGCAUCCAAAACUGGCAAGCUAGAGUACGGUAGAGGGUGGUGGAAUUUCCUGUGUAGCGGUGAAAUGCGUAGAUAUAGGAAGGAACACCAGUGGCGAAGGCGACCACCUGGACUGAUACUGACACUGAGGUGCGAAAGCGUGGGGAGCAAACAGGAUUAGAUACCCCAGUAGUCCCUGUCUCUUAUAC